rnacentral:rRNA from 1 species
GUAGUUGACUCCGUGGCUCGAGGACGACGCUGGCGGCGCGCCUAACACAUGCAAGUCGAACGGGACUAUACUGGAAGAAGGUUUUCGGAUGGAUUUCGGUAUAGUUUAGUGGCGGACGGGUGAGUAACACGUGAGCAACCUGCCUUCGAGAGGGGAAUAACGGCUGGAAACGGUCGCUAAUACCGCAUAACAUACUGGGAGGACAUCCUGCUGGUAUCAAAGAUUUAUCGCUCGAAGAUGGGCUCGCGUCCGAUUAGGUAGUUGGUGAGGUAACGGCUCACCAAGCCGACGAUCGGUAGCCGGACUGAGAGGUUGAACGGCCACAUUGGGACUGAGACACGGCCCAGACUCCUACGGGAGGCAGCAGUGGGGGAUAUUGCACAAUGGGGGAAACCCUGAUGCAGCGACGCCGCGUGUGGGAAGACGGUCCUCUGGAUUGUAAACCACUGUCCCCAGGGACGAAAAUGACGGUACUUGGGGAGGAAGCUCCGGCUAACUACGUG